rnacentral:lncRNA from 1 species
CACACAUCCCACUCCUGAUCUUACGGGCUAUAUUACUGAAGGACAGAUAUAUAUCGACAGGCAGCUCCACAACAGACAGAUUUACCCUCCGAUCAAUAUGCUUCCAUCACUAUCUCGAUUGAUGAAGAGUGCUAUUGGUGAGGGGAUGACUCGCAGAGACCAUUCUGAUGUCUCCAAUCAGGUCAAGAUUGUUUGGAUUUCAUAUAUCUAA